rnacentral:rRNA from 1 species
AUACGGAGGGUGCAAGCGUUAUUCGGAAUCACUGGGCGUAAAGGGUGCGUAGGCGGUUUGAUAAGUCUGAUGUGAAAUCCUAUGGCUCAACCAUAGAACUGCAUUGGAAACUGUCAGACUAGAAUACUGAAGGGGCAGAUGGAAUUAGUGGUGUAGGGGUAAAAUCCGUAGAUAUCACUAGGAAUACCGAAAGCGAAAGCGAUCUGCUGGGAAGUUAUUGACGCUGAGGCACGAAAGCGUGGGGAGCAAACGGGAUUAGAUACCCGAGUAGUCC